rnacentral:lncRNA from 1 species
ACACAAUGUAGUACGUAUGUACACCCAGGGGCGGAGCCAGCCUAAGUCUUGACUAGGCUGGAGCCCAGGUCACAUUUUGAAGCCUGAAAAAAUUGUUGGUGCUUACUGCUGUAAGAGUUGUAGAUGUAUUAUGUUGGUAUAAGGAUUGUUGGCUAUCCCUUUUAUGAUCAAAACACAAGACACAAGCUAUUAUAUAUAUCCUGAUGGUAAGGAUAUCACAAGUGAAGAAUGAAGACUUGACAAGAUCACAUGUGUCCUAGGUAACUAGUGCAUAUGCAUCUGAUGCUUUUCACUGAGAAUUUUACAUAUCCUGAUGGUAAGGAUAUCACAAGUGAAGAAUGAAGACCUGCCAAGAUCUCAUGUGCAUCAGGUAGUUUAUGCAUAUGCAUCUCAUGUUUUUCACUGAGAAUGGCAGCUUUGCUUGUCAUACUAGAUUGGAUGAUACCUCUUGGUGUAUCUGUCCUAAUCUAUUAGGUCUAUAAGUAUGCAUGUCUAAAUGCUUUUGCUAUUUGUGUAUCAUUAGUUUGAAUUCCCCUGUUUGAAUUCAAAUCCCCUUUAGCAAAAUAUUUGUCGUUGCCUUGGUACUUCAAGUCAGUCUAGGGUUGUGUAGUGUUUCCAACCCGUGACCACAUGACUAGAGCUUAGAGGCUCCAGCUAGGUUUGUGAUACACAAACUAAUAUAUUAGCUGGCUAUUUGUUUUUAUCUUAUGUACAUCAGGUAGUUCAUGCAUGUGCAUCACAUUCAUUUAGGAUGGCAGCUCUGCUUGCUAUCCAGAUUUGGUGGAUACCCUUGUUGUAUCUAUCCUAAUCUCUGAGUCUGACUUCGUGCAGAUUUAAAUGGUUUUGCUUCAGCUUUUCAAUAUUUGAAUUUCAAAUCUCUUUUAGCAAAACAUUUUUCAUCGUGCUUGAGCUCCAAGUUAGUCUAGGGUUCUGUUGUUCUUCCAACCCAUGAGCACAUGACUAAAACACUUUUAGGUCAGCUCCUUUUUGAGUCCAGCUGGGUUUUGUGAUACACAAACCAAGUCAGCUGCUGAGCCAUGUGAUGCACUACCCAAGCUAUCAGCUGGCCUAUGUGUCCUCAUAUAGGAAUAGGUUUUGUUGUGUCUCCUUCAUUCACAAAACCUUUUGUUUCUUUCUUAUUGGACCAUUAUCAUAUAAGAGAGUUGCGUUUGUCUUUACUCUCUUGGAGCCUUUUGUUUGUCCUUUGGCCCUCUCACUUUAUGAGUUUGGACAAGGACUAAAGUCCAAAAGUUGCCUCCCAUUUUGGUAAACGGGCAUGCUCUCCUUUAGCUUGCACUUUGCCUAUAUAUAUGGAGCAAGUCUCUUCUUGCUCCUUGGUUGUUCAAGAUGUAGUUUUCUACAUAGUUUUAGCUGAGUAUAGGUUUUACCUUGCAUUGCUCAUUUGCCUCUAAGUCUUCCAUUGGUGAUUGUAAAUCUUAGAGCAAGAGCAAGAGCAAAAACUCUUUUCAUAAACCGAUUAGCAUUCUGCAUAUCAUGAGUGAUGGUAGUGCAGCAACCCCAGAAGUACUCAAGAAGGAUCAGUUGAUCGAGGAGAGCUGAGUUCUAGAGAUUCAGUUAAAGGUGUUAGCUGAGGUCUGAAGAAUCCCUCUCAUUAGGAUAACUGAGUUCUGAGUUGAGUAUUCUGAGAAGUGUUCAAGAAGAAUCAGUUAAAGGCGUUAGCUGAGUUCUGAGUUGAAACUUCUUCUUAUACCUUCAUAUGGAAACACUUGAGAGACAAGAGAGGUAGGUCUAGACUAGUAGGUAGACUAGGCAGGAUAGCAAGUCGUUGUUGUAUCCCUAGACUAUAAUCUUGUAAGAAGUGAGUUUUACAUAGUGGAAAGGUUUGUCCCUCAAGAGUUAGGGGCACGCAGUUUUUCUCCCUGGUGCAGGGUUUCUGCGAAUAAAAAACGUACUGGUGUUAUUUCUUUUACUUUCCAGUACUUGUUCUUUUAUUUAUUACUACGUCUCCUUGUUAUCAGGAUAGUUAAAUGUUUGCUAUCCUUGUGAACGAAAUUGGACGAAAAAGUAAUAAAGACCUAUUCACCCCCCCUCUAGGACCUUCAUAUUAUCUAUUACUAGCUCAGACGAAUAAUAUGGUAUAACCAAUGCCAACACAAGAAGAUUAACACCAUGAAUUCUUGAUGCUGUGUUAUCUGUUACUAGUCAUGUAAAUUUAAAAAGGAAAACUAAAUGGAAGUUGGUGUUGUUACUAAACUAAUUGUAUCAUCUUCUGUUUGACUUCGUUUGUAAGAGUUGUAAUAGAUUUUGUCCUUGCUAUGUUAUGCAAUUUGACGUUUGGUUCUUGAGGAACAACUACUUCUUGGGUUUAGUUAUGAUUCUUUGCUUUCUGUUGGCAAUCUAUAUAUCAUCUCUUAUUUUUUGUUGUUGAAAGUUAUGUAUUUCUUGCCUUGCCUGUAGCUUUGUUUGUUCUAACUCUAAUAAACUCGUACUUCAUUAUGUGUUAUUCUACACAACUGGAUCGU